UACGUAGGGUGCGAGCGCUGUCCGGAAUUAUUGGGCGUAAAGGGCUCGUAGGCGGUUUGUCGCGUCGGGAGUGAAAUCAUCUGGCUUAACUGGGUGCUUGCUUUCGAUACGGGCAGACUAGAGGUAUGCAGGGGAGAACGGAAUUCCUGGUGUAGCGGUGAAAUGCGCAGAUAUCAGGAGGAACACCGGUGGCGAAGGCGGGUCUCUGGGCCGAUACUGACGCUGAGGAGCGAAAGCGUGGGGAGCGAACAGG
rnacentral:rRNA from 1 species